rnacentral:rRNA from 1 species
CUGAAAAUGGAUGGCGCUUGAGCGAGGGACCUAUACCCAGCCGUUGCUGGCUUGUGCGUUGUCUAGCGCCUGGCCGCAACGAGUAGGAGGGUCGUGGCGGUUGCGUCGAAGGCUUUGGGCGUAGGCCCAGCUGGAGCUUCCGUCAGUGCAGAUCUCGGUGGUAGUAGCAAAUAUUUAAGUUCGAUCCUUGAAGACUGAAGUGGAGAAGGGUUCCACGUGAACAGUAGUUGAAUGUGGGUCAGUCGAUCCUAAGAUACUGGCUUAUGCCUUGUAUCAUUGAGAGGGAAAAGUUUCUUUUCUCUCGGAUAUCAAAAGGGAAUAGGGUUAAUAUUCCCUAACGCAGACACAGAGAUUGCGGCUCUUUGAGUCGCUUGCGCGGUAACGCAUUCGAACUUGGUUACGUCGCUCAGAGACCGAGCUAGAGUUCUCUUCUCUAGUUAAGGAACGGACUCCCUGGAAUCGGUUCAGCCGUAGAUAGGGACGUUGUUUCCGUAAAGCAUCGCGGUUUCUGUGAUGUCUCGUGUUCUCUGGACGGCCCUUGAAAAACCAAGGAAGGCUAUCAAUCUGUGCUGCAUCGUACCGAUAUCCGCAUCA